AUAGCCGUUCAACUGCCUCAUAGAUGUCUUCGCUUUUCCCAUCAUCUACAUGUUACAGGACAACUCCCAGCAAGGCUGCUUGUCAGGUCUUCUGUGAUAUAAACAAGUAAGGUAACUUUCCAAGCACAGGAAGGGAGCAAGAGUUGAUUUAUUCAAGAUCAGUAUGUUUAAAACUAUAAAAGUAGAGUGUGCGCCCUGAUAUGGUUUAGAGUUAGGUUGAGAAUGUCUUUCCAGGAGGCCCU
rnacentral:lncRNA from 1 species